rnacentral:rRNA from 1 species
CGCGUAGGUGGCUCGUUAAGUGGUCGGUGAAAUCCCGGGGCUCAACUCCGGGGCUGCCGGUCAGACUGGCGGGCUAGAGCACGGUAGGGGCAGAUGGAAUUCCCGGUGUAGCGGUGGAAUGCGUAGAUAUCGGGAAGAACACCAGUGGCGAAGGCGUUCUGCUGGGCCGUUGCUGACACUGAGGCGCGACAGCGUGGGGAGCAAACAGGAUUAGAUACCCUGGUAGUCCACGCCGUAAACGAUGGGCACUAGGCGUCGGGGGGAGCGACCCUCCCGGUGCCGUCGCUAACGCAGUAAGUGCCCCGCCUGGGGAGUACGGCCGCAAGGCUGAA